UGCAGUCGAGCGAAGCUUUUCAGUAGUUUACUACAGAAAAUGACUGAGCGGCGAACGGGUGAGUAACGCGUGAGCAACCUACCUUAGUUACUGGGAUAGCCCGAGGAAACUCGGAUUAAUACCGGAUAUUCUUACUUAAUCACAUGAUUUUUUAAGGAAAGGUCAGCCGAACUAAGAUGGGCUCGCGUUCUAUCAGCUAGUUGGUAGGGUAAUGGCCUACCAAGGCUACGACGGAUAGCUGGUCUGAGAGGACGAUCAGCCACACUGGGACUGAGACACGGCCCAGACUCCUACGGGAGGCUGCAGCAGGGAAUAUUGCGCAAUGAGCGAAAGCUUGACGCGGCGACACCGCGUGUGGGAUGACGGAUCUAGGUUUGUAAACCACUUUCAGGAGGGAAGAAAAUGACGGUACCUCCACAAGAAGCCCCGGCCAACUACGUGCCAGCAGCCGCGGUAAUACGUAGGGGGCGAGCGUUGUCCGGAUUUAUUGGGCGUAAAGAGCUCGUAGGCGGUUCAACAAGUCGGUCGUGAAAGUUCAGGGCUCAACCCUGAAAUGUCGAUCGAUACUGUUGUGACUAGGAUACGGUAGAGGUGAGUGGAAUUCCGAGUGUAGCGGUGAAAUGCGUAGAUAUUCGGAGGAACACCAAUUGCGAAGGCAGCUCACUGGGCCGCUAUCGACGCUGAGGAGCGAAAGCUAGGGGAGCAAACAGGAUUAGAUACCCUGGUAGUCCUAGCUGUAAACGAUGGAUACUAGACGUAGGAAUUGGAUUAACGAUUUCUGUGUCGUAGCUAACGCGUUAAGUAUCCCGCCUGGGGGAGUACGGUCGCAAGACUAAAACUCAAAGGAAUUGACGGGACCCCGCACAAGCGGCGGAGCAUGCGGCUUAAUUCGAUGAUACCCGUAGAACCUUACCUGACUUGACAUAUAGGGAAAAGUUAUAGAAAUAUAAUGUGCAUUAGCGCCCUAUACAGGU
rnacentral:rRNA from 1 species